CACGUAGGCGGUCUGUUAUGUCGGAUGUGAAAGCCCUUGGCUUAACUGAGGAAGUGCAUCCGAAACUGGCAGGCUAGAGUACUAAAGAGGGUCGCGGAAUUCCCGGUGUAGAGGUGAAAUUCGUAGAUAUCGGGAGGAACACCGGUGGCGAAGGCGGCGACCUGGGUAGAUACUGACGCUGAGGUGCGAAAGCGUGGGGAAGCAAACAG
rnacentral:rRNA from 1 species